UACGAGGGGGGCAAGCGUUGUUCGGAAUUAUUGGGCGUAAAGGGCGCGUAGGCGGUGCGGUAAGUCACCUGUGAAAACUCUGGGCUCAACUCAGAGCCUGCAGGCGAAACUGCCGUGCUUGAGUGUGGGAGAGGUGCGUGGAAUUCCCGGUGUAGCGGUGAAAUUCGUAGAUAUCAAGCGGAACACCGGUGGCGAAGGCGGCCUUCUGGACAGUGACUGACGCUGAGACGCGAAAGCGUGGGGAGCAAACAGG
rnacentral:rRNA from 1 species